AUUGAACGCUGGCGGCAGGCCUAACACAUGCAAGUCGAGCGGAGCGACGGACGGGUGAGUAAGGCCUAGGAAUCUGCCCGGUAGAGGGGGCUAACGUCAGGAAACGGGCGCUAAUAACGCAUCGUAUCAGAUGAGCCUAGGUCGGAUGAGCUAGAUGGUGGGGUAAAGGCCUACCAAGGCGACGAUCCGUAACUGGUCUGAGAGGAUGAUCAGUCAGACUGGAACUGAGACACGGUCCAGACUCCUACGGGAGGCAGCAGUGGGGAAUAUGGGACAAUGGGCGAAAGCCUGAUCCAGCCAUGCCGCGUGUGUGAAGAAGGUCUUCGGAUUGUAAAGCACUUUAAGUUGGGAGGCGUUACCAACAGAAUAAGCACCGGCUAACUUCGUGCCAGCAGCCGCGGUAAUUC
rnacentral:rRNA from 1 species